AUCUAAUGGCGGGAAGGGCGGUAUCAUGAUGAUCGUAUCGUGAAAACACACACACAGCAGCAAGGCUGGACGAUCAAAUGCUCGACUAUUGGCUAACGGCGCGUGAAAACCAUUCCCAAUGACAUUCCCAUUGUUCAUGCCUUCUUUAUUCGGCGACCAAUAACCUCCUUGCAAAGAAAGUACCGUUGCAUGAAGCUGCUGCCGGCUAAAAGAAACUGAGCAAGCUCCGUGCGCAUAUGCCCACUGAUGUAGCCUCGAGGUGAAAAGAUCUAAGAACAUGCGUAUAGGACAUAUCAUG